GACGAACGCUGGCGGCGUGCCUAACACAUGCAAGUCGAACGGAAAGGCCCUGCUUUUGUGGGUUUCACGAGUGGCGAACGGGGGAGUAUCACGUGUGUAUCCUGCCCUUGACUUUGGGGUAACUUCAGGAAACUGGGGCUAAUACAGGAUAUGAGCUCCUGCUGCGUGGUGGUGGUUGGAAAGAUUCGGCGGUGGGGGAUGGGCUCGCGGGUUAUCAGCUUGUUGGUGGGGUAGUGGCUUACCAAGGCUUUGACGGGUAGCCGGCCUGAGAGGGUGAACGGGCACAAGGGGACUGAGGUACGGACCAGACUGCAACGGGCGGCAGUGGGGGAGAAUAUUGCACAACGGGGGGAAGUCUGAUGCAGAAGCGCCGCGUGCGGGAUGACGGCCUUCGGGGUGUAAACCGAUUUGGCCUGAGACGAAGCGUGAGUGACGGUAAUGGGUAAAGAAGCACCGGCUAACUACGUG
rnacentral:rRNA from 1 species